UACGUAGGGGGCUAGCGUUGUCCGGAAUCAUUGGGCGUAAAGAGCGUGUAGGCGGUCCGGUAAGUCCGCUGUGAAAGUCGGGGGCUCAACCCUCGAAUGCCGGUGGAUACUGUCGGGCUAGAGUGCGGAAGAGGCGAGUGGAAUUCCUGGUGUAGCGGUGAAAUGCGCAGAUAUCAGGAGGAACACCUAUUGCGAAGGCAGCUCGCUGGGACGUAACUGACGCUGGAGACGACGAAGCGUGGGGAGCAAACAGG
rnacentral:rRNA from 1 species